UACGUAGGGUGCAAGCGUUGUCCGGAAUUAUUGGGCGUAAAGAGCUCGUAGGCGGUUUGUCGCGUCGGCUGUGAAAACCCGAGGCUCAACCUCGGGCCUGCAGUCGAUACGGGCAAACUAGAGUGUGGUAGGGGAGACUGGAAUUCCUGGUGUAGCGGUGAAAUGCGCAGAUAUCAGGAGGAACACCGGCGGCGAAGGCGGGUCACUGGUCCGGUACUGACGCUGAUGUGCGAAAGCGUGGGGAGCAAACAGG
rnacentral:rRNA from 1 species